rnacentral:rRNA from 1 species
UACAUGGGGUGCAAACGUUGCUCGGAAUUAUUGGGCGUAAAGCGCACGUAGGCGGUUUGUCGCGUCUGCCGUGAAAGUCCGGGGCUCAACUCCGGAUCUGCGGUGGGUACGGGCAGACUAGAGUGAUGUAGGGGAGACUGGAAUUCCUGGUGUAGCGGUGAAAUGCGCAGAUAUCAGGAGGAACACCGAUGGCGAAGGCAGGUCUCUGGGCAUUAACUGACGCUGAGGAGCGAAAGCAUGGGGAGCGAACAGG